GUCUGGUUGGCUCAGUUGGUAGAGCGUCGGUCUCAUAUUUAGUCUUGAUAUGACUUUCACCCAGUGAUAGGAAUCCGAAGAUCGCGAGUUCGAUCCUCGCACCGGACA